UACAGAGGGUGCAAGCGUUAAUCGGAUUUACUGGGCGUAAAGCGUGUGUAGGUGGUUGGGAAAGUCAAUUGUGAAAUCCCCAGGCUUAACUCGGGAACUGCUUUUGAUACUGUCUGACUAGAAUUCGGUAGAGGGAGGCGGAACUCCAGGUGUAGCGGUGAAAUGCGUAGAUAUCUGGAAGAACACCAAUGGCGAAGGCAACCUCCUGGGCCUGAAUUGACACUGAGACACGAAAAGCGUGGGGAUCAAACAGG
rnacentral:rRNA from 1 species